rnacentral:tRNA from 1 species
UCCCUGGCAGUUUAGUGGUUAAGACUUUGCAUUUCCAAUGCAAAGGGUGUGGGUUCAAUCUCUGGUUGGGGAA